CGCAUCUGUGCAUGCAGCAUAUCAAUAAGCGGAGGAAAAGAAACUAACAAGGAUUCCCUUAGUAACGGCGAGUGAAGCGGGAAGAGCUCAAAUUUGAAAUCUUCAAGGUUUUACCUUGACGAAUUGUAGUUUAAAGAAGUGUUUUCUGUUGAAGUUUUGGUAAAAGUUCUUUGGAAUAGGACAUCAUAGAGGGUGAGAAUCCCGUAUUUGACCAUUAUUUUCAGCUGUGUGAUACACUUUCAAAGAGUCGGAUUGUUUGGGAAUGCAGUCCAAAAUGGGUGGUAAAUUUCAUCUAAAGCUAAAUAUUGGCGAGAGACCGAUAGCGAACAAGUACCGUGAGGGAAAGAUGAAAAGAACUUUGAAAAGAGAGUUAAACAGGUACGUGAAAUUGUCAAAGGGAAGCGUUUGACACCAGUGUUGUUUUCUCGAAAAUCAAUUAAAAAGAGUUAGAUUUUGUUGUGUAUUGACCUUAACAGCUUGCAUUUCAAUUUCUUGCUUUUUUUAAUGCACUUUUCGUUUAACAAGUCAACAUCAGUUUCUUUUGUUGUAAAAAGGUCAUUGGAAGGUGGCUUUCUUUUCGGAGAAAGUGUUUAUAGCCUUUGACUCCUGCAAUCGGAGAGACUGAGGUCUGCAGCGUAGAUCCUUCGGGGUUAGAUACAUUUGUGCUAAGUUAUAGCUUUCUAUAGACAACUUGUUGACUAUGAUUAGUCUUGUAGCUUACUCGCUUAUGCUAUUUUACCUACGCUUAGGAUGUUGACACACGCGCGUGCUCG
rnacentral:rRNA from 1 species